rnacentral:lncRNA from 1 species
CAGCCACCACUCGGGCGAGGUGCCCGUGGGUGCCUUCUGCCGCGUGGCCAGCGCCGGCUCGGCUUGUCCCUGCGCCCUCAGCGCCCUCGAGGAGCACAACUUCCUCUUCCAGCUCCAGGCGCCCGAGAGGCCCCCCGAGGACGCCAAGGAGGGCUUGGAGGUCCCGUUGGUGGCCGUGAUCCAGUGGUCGACGCCAAAACUGCCCUUCACCAGCAGCAUCUACACGCAUUACCGGCUGCCAAGCAUCCGCCUGGAGCGGCCGCGCUUCGUGAUGACGGCCGCCCGCGAGGCGCCGGCGCGC